GGUAAGUUGGCAGAGUGGACGAUUGCGGUUGUUUGCUAAACAACAGGGUGUAAUAGCCCCAUAGGUUCGAAUCCUAUACUUACCGCCA
rnacentral:tRNA from 1 species